rnacentral:rRNA from 1 species
CGAUCCCAUCCCGAACUCGGAAGUGAAACGCGCACGCGCCGAUGGUAGUGUGCAUCCGCAUGCGAGAGUAGGUCAUCGCCAGGG